rnacentral:rRNA from 1 species
CCUACGGGUGGCAGCAGUGAGGAAUAUUGGUCAAUGGACGCGAGUCUGAACCAGCCAAGUAGCGUGAAGGAUGACUGCCCUAUGGGUUGUAAACUUCUUUUAUAUGGGAAUAAAAUGAUCCACGUGUGGGAUUUUGUAUGUACCAUAUGAAUAAGGAUCGGCUAACUCCGUGCCAGCAGCCGCGGUAAUACGGAGGAUCCGAGCGUUAUCCGGAUUUAUUGGGUUUAAAGGGAGCGUAGGUGGAUUGUUAAGUCAGUUGUGAAAGUUUGCGGCUCAACCGUAAAAUUGCAGUUGAAACUGGCAGUCUUGAGUACAGUAGAGGUGGGCGGAAUUCGUGGUGUAGCGGUGAAAUGCUUAGAUAUCACGAAGAACUCCGAUUGCGAAGGCAGUUCACUGGACUGCAACUGACACUGAUGCUCGAAAGUGUGGGUAUCAAACAGGAUUAGAUACCCGGGUAGUC